rnacentral:lncRNA from 1 species
UACUCGUUACAUAACACAUCCUGUUGCCGAUCUUCUACUGGGUAUGCUCUAAAUGGUAAAUACCACUAGGAGAGGCAGACAGGAAGGGGCGGAGCGCCCGCCGGCCCAGCACCGCACCCGAGCUAGCGACCGCUGCGGGAGGCGCGAGUUAGCCCGGCGGCCGCUUUGCUAUCCCGGCCCUUUGAUCCUGGCCGUUGCUCCGGGGCCGGCAGAGACUACGAUGAACCUCGGUUCCAGGCGCUGGGCAGGCAGCGAUAUUGGGUCCAUGGCUCCAGCGAUGACUCCGGUGGCGGCUCCGUUGUCCCUGGCUGUCAAGGCCCCAAACCCGGCAGCAGCCCCCACCUCCUAUGGGGUCUUCUGCAAGGGGCUCUCUCGCACCCUGCUCGCCUUCUUCGAGCUGGCCUGGCAGCUUCGGAUGAACUUCCCGUAUUUCUACAUCGCAGGCUCGGUGAUCCUCAACAUCCGCUUGCAGGUACACAUUUAGAAAAGUGACUAAGCUGCCGGCCUUGGGCGGCUAGCAUGAUGGCCGACUCCCAGGCAUUCCCGGGACUUAGUGAACCUGCGAGCGAGGAGCUCGGAGAUCUCGCGAGGGGGCCCGGACGCACUCCGCGCCUGCGCUCUGCGCUCCUAGCGCUCCCAGCGCUCCCUGGACCGUGGCGGGACCCCUGCUAGGACCAAAAAGAGGCCUUAGGGGAGUCCGGGAAUUGAGACCUUCAGCUAAAACCAAAAAAAAAAAAAAUCAGAAACUUUGUAUUCUUAAACUCCGAUCGAAUUCCAGGAUAUAACAGAAGGACACAGAAUAUAUCAUUAAAAAGGAAGACCGAAUUUUUCAGGAAAAAAAAAAAUUGUGCAACAAAUUCAUGGCCUGAGUGAAAAUUAAGAAAUCAGUAAACUUAGGGAAUACCGGUGUGGAUUGUUAGCAAGACGCUGAAGAAAAAGCCGAUGGUAUUAAGGAUAUGAAAUGGAAGGCAUAUGUUUUUUCAUCCCACGUGAAGGACGAAGCAAAACUGUACAGGAAAAACAUCCUCCAAACACUAAAUGUGAAAUGCUGCACGAUUUUGAACAAAUGGUAGAAGCGUGAGAAAAUGCAUUCUGCUUUAACUUCCUGUGAGCAGCAUUGGGAUCACGAUCUUUGCAAAAAGGAAAUCCAAACAGCAUAAAACUUGGCUAUUCAUUGAAUAAUAUUUUACCAUCAUAAUGCAAAUUCUAUGUGUGGUUUUUUUCCCCUUCUAAGGAAAUAUUUAAUUAUGGUUACAGAAUAGAAUGUGAAAGUCAUUAGUCUUGAUGUAAAAAUACAAAUGGGAAUGUUGUAGGAGGGAGGAAAACGUAAUUGGAAUGGUUACAUGUUCUAAUAAAGUGAAGAGUUGAGAGACACAGUCUGUUGUGAAGGGAAAAGAAGAUAUUUUGUUACUGACAAGGUAGCCAUGGUUUCUAAACUAGAAAUAUAACUAUUAAAGUGGGAAGGUGGGAGGUGAGAACACCAUGAAGUCAACAGGAAAUCCUGAAGAUGGAGAGUUCAGGUAGGACUCCUCAAAAAGAAAAAUUGAUAAGAGUACCUGGUGUAUUUGAAUGUAGACUAGGAAUUUUUCAAAGAGGCUGGGGUGAAUUAUUAGUCUGCAGCCUUUUCAAAAUUCAGAAAACAAAACUAAUAAAUCCAAGGAAAAAUGAAAAGUUAUAAAAAAAUAUAUUGCAACUGAAUAUUAGUCAUGUAAAUUCACUUAUAGAUAUUGACUACUAGUUUAGCAAAUGAUUAUAUAGCAUUUGAGAAAAUGGAAGAGGAGAGAGACAUAAUUGUGAAAAGUCAAAUCAAGAUUAAUAUGGGGGUGGAGGUGAGUGCUUCCCUAGCAUCCACCAGGACUGGAUUCAGUCUGUGUGUGUGUAUGUGUGUGUGUGUAUACCCAUAUAUGUAUAUCCAGAAAAAGUGAUACAAACAUGUUUUUCAGAAAUAUCUGCAGUAAGAAACAGGUUACAAGCUGUUGUCUCUGGAAGAAGGAAAUAAAGGGUAGGUCAUAAAAAGGCCAAGUUUUGCUUUUUUUUUCACUACCAGUUUAAUAGUAUUAUUUGAUUUCUUUUAACUAUGUGUAAGCUUUUGUUUAAUUGAAAACUUACUUAAAUACAUUUCCUUUUUAAAAGUUCCCUAGGCAAUUUAAAUAUAUACCACUGGUUAAAAGUCACAAGAGUAGAAUGGGACUGGGCUGCUCAAUCAGGCAAACUUCUUCAAAUAUUCAUAUUCUGUAGUUUUGUGGUGAGAGAUAGAUCCAUUAAUCUUCCUAAACCUAUUUCCUCAUCUGUAAAUGAGGGUAAUACCCCCACCUUGAAAGUUAGUCUAAGAACUAGAAGUAAACCUGCCCUAGUUCUUCAUAUAUCCAUAAUAAACAAUAUUUCUUAUAAUAAUACCACGUUAGAAAGUGAAUAAGAUGUAAAAGGACAUAUAGAAAGAUGCUUUUCCAAAAGAAGUUUUAAGUUCUAAAGAAGGUGACAAGUAGGGUGGUGAUCAUAGAAGGAUGGAAAAGAUGCUCUAGAAUGAUCCUAGCUGAGAUAUUUGCACACAAGGGGGCCAUGUUUGCCUGAGUAAAGAUUUAAAUGCUGGCACUGUUCUAUAUUCUGGUUGUGUCUGUCAAACAAUAGUCUUAAAAUAAGAGGAGUCCUGCCCCUGCCUCACCUUACCUGGCUUUGGGCUCUUCCUACUCUAUUCCUUUUCUGCAGCCAAACUUAUCAAGUAUAUCUUCCUCUUCUAUCUGCUUUUUUGCCCAUAGAUGUUCUUCCUGUUUUAAGGACAAGUUUAGGUAAUACUUUUUCCAUUAUUUUUUCCCAAAUUCCCCUGAACAGAUUGGGGCUUACAAUUUCUAAUCCAUCUAAGAUCUGUUAAUAUCAAUGCUGUUUUUAUAGGCUUCCCACAUUUUCCUAAUAGUAAGUUAAUUAUCGGGUUUUCUUUUUGUUUCAUAUAUUCCAAGAACACAGAUUUCUUGGAUGACUAAAGAGCCAAAACAUUUUAGUCUAAAAUAUUAUAAGGUAGUUCAGUCGAUGUAAUUGUAAUACUGAAGCACUUAGAAUAGUAGGUAUUAUAUUCCAGAAGCACUAAUGUCCCAGUUUGUAACAUUUUAAAAAUCUGUUUGCCAUUAGCACUAAAAUUGUGACACAGUGGAGUACUUUAUUUUGGUAACUGUAUGAACAUGUUUCCAUCAGCUUUUUAUUAUAAUAUCUUUUAUUACAUUAAAGAAACUAAGGCCUUUAUAGCAGUUAAAAUAUUUAUCUCUUCCUCCCACUAGAUUGGAAGCUGUGAGAAGGAAGCUUCUGUAUCCUAUCCAAUCUUACAUCCUGUAGUAUCAGCAAAUUUAUAGUAGGAUCUAAAUGUCAGCUUGGUGAUUUGCCCUUUCAUCUUCAUAAAUGCUUCCAAACCUUGAUAUGUAUUUUUCCUCUUACAUGACGCAAUUUGGUGAAGUUUCCCAGGGAGAAAAUGAAAUUUAUGCUAUGACUAAAUCUCUUACUGUUCUAAUUCACAAUUAAUUUUAUUCCUCUUGGCACACUUACAGGAACAUCCAGGAGGCCAUGGAUUUGUUUCCUGCUCUAUCAUCAAGCCUAGAACAUUAUUGUCUGAUGCAAAGCAAAGAACAAAUAUUGCUGAAUAGGUAAACGAAUGCCAAUUUAGUUGGUUAUUCAGUACAGUCAAUAGUCAGUAAAGGAAACAAAGUUAUGUUUGCCUCUAAUAUCAAAGUGUUCCACUUUAUUACCCAUAAAUUGAAUUUUUCAAAUCAUCAUGAAUGUUGGUUUGUCUAGAGAUCCCCUCAAGCAUGAAGAAGCAGAGAGGUUGUGUGAUUAUUACACAUAAAGAAAAAAAAACUUGUUCAGGAAGUAUGACCAAUUUUUAAAAUUACUGAGGAAUGGUAACUGUCAUACUUUAAUAUGCUUUAACAGAGAAUUAGUCAACACGAUAACAUAAAUGAAAGGGUAGAAAAGUUUUUUUUAUUUUUUUAAUUCAAGGUAAAAGUAUGUGAUUAUUUGACCUAAUGAGCAAAUCAUCACCAUGAACAUUUUUAAUUUUAUUGAGUUUUUAAUAUUAGGAAUUGUGAACUUAUUUAAAUAUAUUAGCUCCAUAAUUCUCACAUAUAUCAUAUGAGGAAAGCAUUUUUAUCACUACUUCUCAGAUAAAGGAACAGGAUUUAGAUUCAGUUCCCAAGGUCAUGGGAAUUAAGUCUCUAGAUGUCCCUAGAAGUAUAUUUCAUAAGGGGUUCCAUUUUCUUUUUUUUUUUCAGUGUUUAGGUGAUUCCAAAUAAUCUUCUCUUCCAAAUUGCCAAACAGAAAUAUGACCUGAUGAAGAGUGAAUUUUUUCUUUUUCUAAUGUAAUAGUAAGAGCCUUUUGUAUUAGAAUAUAAAUAUUAAACAAUUUAAUAUGUGAAUUUAAGCAUUUUGUACUUUCUGCUGCCCUUUAUCAUUGGAAAAAGGGGACAAAAGCAAAGAGAAAAGAACAUUUUCCCUAAAAUGGAAGGGAAGUAUUUUCUCUUUUAUACACAGUAGAUAUCAGGCAUUUUGAAUUUUGAUCCUUGCUGUCCUGAUGUGCUGUAACUAAAUUUUCUAUUACAGAAUCUUGCAGUUUGAUUUUAAUGGAGGAUUUAUCUGCCUUUGAUGCAGUCAAGAAGAAAUAAGGCAUACACAUGAGGCAUAAAAGGUAGAAAUGAAAGUUGAGUAUUAUAGGAACAAAAGGUGAGGGGAAGGAAAAUUCUACUUCUAAAAACUUUGAGCAUGGAGAAUAACCUGAAGACUAGAUUUGGGAGAUUUUUAAGCACAUAGACCAAGAAAAGGAUCUUGCAAAAACUAUUAAAAUUCCCAAAACUUGGGUUGGAUGAAGUCACGUCAGUCCAUUACUUAGAUUUCUGUGAAUUUGCGGGAUUCUCUUGCAAUUUUAACAAGAACACUUGUGCUGUGAUCUAAAUGUUUAUGUCCUUCUGACCCUACCAAAUUCAUAACCCUGAGAUUUUAGCCCUCAAGAUGAUAGUAUUAGGAAACGGGAUUUUUAAGAGGCUAUUAUGUCAUGAGGACGGGAGCUUUCAUGAAUGGGAUUCAUGCCUUUAAAUAAGAGUCCCAGAGAAAAUUCACUUUCAUGUACAGUUAAGAGUGAAAACAGAGCCAUCUAUGAACAAACAAGGGGGCCCUCACCAGAUGUUGAUUUGUCUAUGUACUUCUUAGCCUCCAGAUGUAUAAGAAAUAAAUUUCUGUUGUUUAUAAGUCACCCAGUUCCUGAUAGGUUGUUAAUAAUAGCUUAACAGUCUGAAUAGAUUGAGACAACUUGAUAGCCUAUUGCUCAGAAGGAUUCCCAUCAGGCCAGCUCACCAAUCUCUUUCAGGACAGAAUUAAAUCUCCCCCACCUACAUUCUCCAUAAAUACAAAAUCAGCAAUGUCCUUGGGAGAAUUGAUCGGCCAAAGGACAUCCCCCAAUUGCCUGCUACAAGUGAAAAUAAGAAACUAAGCAAUUCUGAUAAGCUAAAUGACAGGACAUCUGAGGGUUUCUAUCCUGAUUAGGAAUCUGCAGUGAACUUGAGAAAAUCUUGACCAUCUUUAUGACUUUCAACACCAAAUAUUCACAGUGAGGUAAUGACAUGCAUCAGCAAAUAACAGGAACAGAGUUCUUUUGUAAAUUAGGGAAAUUGGGUAUGCCUUUUCAUGAACCAAAAUAAGGAAAAUAAAUCGGCAUGCAACCAAUAAUGUAAUAACUAGAAUGUCUUAACUCUGAACUCAUCUACAAAUGAAGUUAAAAAAAAAUUAAAAGAGAAACUUUAAAAUUCAGAUACCAGGUUAUAUCUACAAGAGAGGGAAACUAAAUUACUUCUAAAACCAUCUCAUUUACAUGUAGGCAAUAGGGGCACUAAUAAAAAAGUUGGGAUUGAGCCUUUGUCCUCUGAAAGUGCAUCUAUAUUGGUACUCCCACACAUACCAAAUAGCUAAAAAUAGUCCAUCUGUCAUGUUUGGUUUCUUAUACAAAUAAACCUGUCACCCACCCCAAAAUUUUUCACAUUUUUGUAAAUUGCUCAGACCAACCAUCUGACCAAUUUUUUUUUUUUUAAUUGGAGGUGUAUUCUUAGCAAUCCAGAUUAGAGUAUAGGUCACUCUACACAGUGCUAACCAAUGUUUCCCAGUAAGUAGACUGUAGAAGUGGAGGUUUACAGAUGUCCCCUUGUAUGCAAUUAAAGAAGUCCCUGGUUCAAAUGAUAUUAAAUUAAGAGCAGCAGCAAACCAGCUAAGCCAUCCAAGAUUAACUCAAGACUUAGAUGCUUUGAAAUAUAUAUUGAUCCAUGCAUACUUCCAGAAAAUUUCAAAAUAACAUGGCUUGAAUGCUCUAAAAUAUAUUCUCAGCUUAAAUUUUAACCUGAUGCAGGGCUUACAUAUAAGCCUCUUUGGGCAGCUCUUCUAUAACUCAAUGGUAUGACCACACAGGGAAUAAAAGGAGGGAGGGGGGUUCAUAAUUAAAAGUUCAGGUUAGGGGAAAGUGAUUGGCAAGAAAUCAAUGACGAUCAUUUUUUUCCCCAAAUAUGUAACCCUAGUGUAGGAUACAAUUCUCUCCAGAUCCCAUGACACCAGUUAUAAUAAUAGUGUACUUAGAUUCUAGUUUGGGCCUCCAACACAGGCUCUUAUUAUGAGUGUUGGUACAGAGCUUAUUCUUAAAAUACCAUUAUACUAGAAUGCAAUAUAUUAAUAGCCACUGUCCCAGCCUAUGCCCUAGGCUUUGUCUUUUUUUAUUUUAUUUAUUUAUUAAUUUUAAUUAGGUAUAUAUGACAGCAGAAUGCAUUUUGAUUCAUUGUGCGUAAUUGCAGCACAACUUUUCAUUUGCCUGGUUGUACACGAUGUAACAUCACACUAUAUGUGCAGUCAUACACAUACCUAGAAUGAUGUUCAUCUCAUUCCAUCAUCUUUCCUGCCCCCAUGCCCUCUCCCCAUUCCACCUCCCCUUUGCCCAAUCAAAGUUCUUAGGCUUUAUCUUUUAAAGGUCAUUUACUGUGCUUCUAUUGUAAGCAAUAGGUAGGCCCUGCUCCUUAUAGCUCCAACUUUCCAAGGUUAGUACAUGAGAAGUGGGGCCUUCAUUCUAACAAAACGUUUACACAGGGGCUGUGUGUGGUUAUUUAAAUGUGUUUGCUUUAAAUACAAGUUUAGUAGUACUAAACUAAAUAUUGUUGGAAUGUUCUAAUAAUUGCAAAGUAAUUUAAACUUUUUUUACUAAAAGGGGUACAUUCUAAACCAAAUUAUCCUAUCAGAACCUAAAUAUAGCCAGUGUGGUUUUAACUUUACCCUUCCUAAAGAAAGAUAAUUCCAAUGAUAAUCUUUAGGACAUUUCUUAUACAGUAUCUAACAAUGAAUGGAGUUGUACAAUAUAAAUAUCUGUAUAGAUCUGGAUAUAUAUGUAUCACUGUCAUAGACAUCAAAGCAGCACACAGCAGUUUCCUGGAGUAAAAAUGCUUUUCAAAACCCUGAUGGUUCUUAACAUUCUUUUCAACAUCUACUACUGAUGUGCUGCUUCAUCAAAAUUAACUUAAAACCACCAUAUUUUUAGCACUUAUGUUCUGUAGUUUUUGUUAUUGUUGUUUAUCAUUAAAAAGUGUUUGUAGUUGUAAACCUUGACAUAUUUCUUCACUGAUAGUUUUGAUAUUUACAAUUAUAAUUACUAAAAUAUUGUAAAAUACUAUAUUCAAAAUUAUAUUAUUAGCAAGCACAAUUAACAACCUGCUGGCCUUAAGAUUAUAUACAUUUUCAACUACUUUGAUUUAACUUAAUUAUUUUAUGAUAAAGUCAACACAGCACUAAACACACAAACAUGUCUAAAAUCCAUGCUCUUUUUCUAUUCUUAUCCCUCAUGAGUUUAUUGCUUUAGUUUUCUCUAAUAAGAGAUACUACAUUCAUGGUAUCUCAGUUCACUUUCUGUCAUUACAGCAAAAUACCCAAGUGUAAGCAAUUUAUAGAGAAAAGUUCAUUUAGCUCACAGUUCUGGAAGCCCAAGAGCAUGAUGCCGGCUGGCAUCUGCUCAGCAUCUAUUGUGGCAAAAGGACAGCACAUGGUGAGAGAGGCAGCAAGAGCAGAAGUGAGCAUGUGAGGAAGAAAGGCAGUAUGUUCAAAAAACCAAGAGGAAAAAACCAAAAAACCAGACUUGCUCUAUAAUCACCCAUCCUGAAGCUACCAAUCCAGUCCCCUGAGAACAAGAACUGAGUCUGGAGAGAAGCAUUAAAACCUCCUUAAAUUUUUGUGUUAGUCAGCUUUCAAUCACUAUAACAAAACACCUGACACAGGCUACUUAAGAAAUAAAGACAGGUUUAUUUUCCUUCCUUGUUCUGUAUUCAAGUCCAAGAUCAGGUAGCCCCAUAGGGGCCCCUGGUGAGGGUGGCACAUUAUUGCAGGAGUGCAUAUGAAGAGCAAGCCAGUGAUUACAUCUCAACCCACAAGCAGAAAAAGAGGAAAAGAGCAUGUCCUCAAGACCUAAGACCCUCCUACUGUGUCCCACAUCCUAAAGGUUCCACCACCUUCAAAUAGUGCCACCAAGCACUAUUUGAAUCAAGUGGAUCAAGCCUUUAAACACAUGAACCUUUGGAGAACAUUUAACAUCCAAACUGUAGCAAGCCCUACCUCCCAACACCACUGUGUUGGCAAUCAAAUUUCAACUUAACUUUUAAUGUGGACAAGAAGAACAUCCAAAACAUAGCACAUGAUAUGACAAAAAUGCUGUUAUGUGUCACUUAACAAUAGGGACACUUUCUAAGAAAUGUGUCAUUAAGUGAUUUUAUAAUUGUGUGAACUUCAUAGAGUGUACUUGUAGAUGAUAUGGACUAUUACAUACCGAGGCUGAACAAUACAGCCUUUUGCUCUUAGACACCAAACCUAUAUAGCAUGUUACAGUACUAGAUACUUCAGGUAAUUGUAACCCAAUGAUAAGUAUUCAUGUAUCUAAGCAUUUCUAAACAUUAAAAAAAUGCAACAAAAACAAUAUAAAAAUGUACACCAGUAUAGAGCACUUACCAUGAAAAACUUUGAGGAAUAUAAAUUGCUCUCAGUGAGUCAGCAAGUGAGUGGGGAGUGAAUGUGAAGGCCUAGGAUAUUCUGUACACAACUGCAGACUUUAUAAACACUCUACAUGUAGGCUACACUAUAUAUUAAAACUUUUUUUUCAAUAAUGAAUUAGCCUUAGUUUACUGUAACUAUUUACCAUAUAACAUGCUUUUUUUAAAUUUUUGACUCUUGGAAUAACACCUGUCUUAAAACACAAACACAGUAUACAGCUGUAUAUAUUUUCUUUAUAUCCUUAUUCUAUAAACUUUUGAUAUUUUUAGGAUUUUUUUCAUUCCUUUACUUUUUACGUCAUUUUUGUUCAAAACUAAGACAAGCACAUGCAUUACCUUGAUCUACACAAGGUCAGGAUCAUCACUAUCACUGUCUUCCACCUCCAAAUCUUGUCCACUGGCCGGUCUUCAGGGGCGGUAAUGUGCUUCGAGCCGUUAUCUCCUGUGACACAGUGCAUUCUCCUGGAACCAGUCCUGAUCACAACUGGAAGUACAGGAGGUCUGUUUUUACCAGCAUUACCAUAAACACAUGAGAAAUUCAUUGUACUACAGCAUUACAAUAGCUAUCGAGUCACCAGGUGUUAGGAAUGUGUGAGCUUCAUUAUAAUCUUAUGGAAACAGUUCUAUAUGUGGUUCAUCAUCAUGUGGCACAUGAUUAUACAAACUUAUACACACACACACACACUUUUAUCCUUGCAAAGUAGAAAUAACAGUGUUUUUUACACUUAAGGAAAAUUAUACAAUUUCCUAUAAAUUUAGUUGAU